rnacentral:rRNA from 1 species
GGUCCGAACCCACGAGCGUUGAAAAGCUCGGGGAUGACUUGUGGGUAGCGGUGAAAUUCCAAUCGAGCCCGGAGAUAGCUGGUUCUCCCCGAAAUAGCUUUAGGGCUAGCCUCAAGGUGAGAGAUACGGAGGUAGAGCACUGAAUGUCCUAGGGGGUAUUGCACCUACCGAAGACUAUCAAACUCCGAAUGCCGUCAUCUUAUACUUGGGAGUCAGACUGUGGGUGAUAAGAUUCAUAGUCGAAAGGGCAACAGCCCAGAUCGUCAGCUAAGGUCCCUAAAUGUAAGUUAAGUGGUAAAGGAUGUGGGAUUGCACAGACAACCAGGAUGUUGGCUUAGAAGCAGCCACUCAUUCAAAGAGUGCGUAAUAGCUCACUGGUCGAGUGAUCCUGCGCCGAAGAUUUCCGGGGCUAAAACUUACUACCGAAGCUACGGCAUCAGUAAUGAUGGGUAGGGGAGCUUCCCAUACGGGUUGAAGCAUGACCGUAAGGACAUGUGGACAGUAUGGGAGUGAGAAUGUUGGCAUGAGUAGCGAGAUGUGGGUGAGAAUCCCACAGGCCGUAAACCCAAGGUUUCCAGGGGAAGGUUCGGCCGCCCUGGGUUAGUCGGGACCUAAGCUGAGGCCGAAAGGCGUAGGUGAUGGACAACAGGUUGAUAUUCCUGUACUACCGAUAACCGUUUGAGAGAUGGGAUGACACAGUAGGAUAAGCUAAGCACACUGUUGGUUAUGUGUGCCCAAGCAUUGAGGCAGUCAAAGUAGGCAAAUCCGCUUUGAUAAUGCUGGGAUGUGAUGGGGAGCGAAAUUUAGUAGCGAA